GCCUUCUACGAAGCACUUCCUUUCGAAUUACGCAGCACGAAUUGCUCCCUACAUCGAUAUUUACAAACAUCGUAUAAUAAUUCGUAGCCCUACUAGCAACAUCACAGACACAUCUGUCUAACUUAUUACUUUACUUACCUUACUUUAUUGUCUUAAUUUCGUUAAACAAAGCAAGAUUUAAACAAUGGUAUGGAGAAAAUGAAAAAUUACAUAAAGUUGCUGGUUGGCAAUGACCCAGUAUGCAGAUGAAGGAUUAAGUGUUUUUUAAUAUUUUGCCUUCGACUUUUCACCAUCUAUUAGAUUUGAGAAACGAAAUGCAAUGUUAGACCUGCCAACGUUUAGGCCAUGUUGCUUCCAACUACAGCAGACUGUCGCAACCUUAAAUUCAAUGAUAAAUUACGAUCCAGAUGAACGUAUUGACCCAGAUUCCUGUACCGUAGAAAGCGAGAGUAACACAAAUCAUACUUGUUACGUGUUGUGUAAAAAUUUUAGUCAUCUUGUUCACAUCAAGAUCGCUUUCAAGGCUUAUUGUUAGUGUUAAAAAGGCGAUAGCAAAAGAGAAUUUGGAAUAUUAACGAUGAGCGAAACAAAUAAAUACGAUUCGUUCGUGAAACAAGUGACUCAAAAAUUACUUGCAGUCAAAUUCCAUCGAAUAAUAAACUGGAUAAUUGUCCUA